AGUAACGCGUGGGUAACCUGCCUUAUACAGGGGGAUAACAGUCAGAAAUGGCUGCUAAUACCGCAUAAGCGCACAGAGCUGCAUGGCUCAGUGUGAAAAACUCCGGUGGUAUAAGAUGGACCCGCGUUGGAUUAGCUAGUUGGUGGGGUAACGGCCCACCAAGGCGACGAUCAGUAGCCGGCCUGAGAGGGUGAUCGGCCACAUUGGGACUGAGACACGGCCCAA
rnacentral:rRNA from 1 species